rnacentral:rRNA from 1 species
AGCGAACGCUGGCGGCGUGCCUAAUACAUGCAAGUCGAGCGAAUGGAUUAAGAGCUUGCUCUUAUGAAGUUAGCGGCGGACGGGUGAGUAACACGUGGGUAACCUGCCCAUAAGACUGGGAUAACUCCGGGAAACCGGGGCUAAUACCGGAUAACAUUUUGAACCGCAUGGUUCGAAAUUGAAAGGCGGCUUCGGCUGUCCCUUAUGGAUGGACCCGCGUCGCAUUAGCUAGUUGGUGAGGUAACGGCUCACCAAGGCAACGAUGCGUAGCCGACCUGAGAGGGUGAUCGGCCACACUGGGACUGAGACACGGCCCAGACUCCUACGGGAGGCAGCAGUAGGGAAUCUUCCGCAAUGGACGAAAGUCUGACGGAGCAACGCCGCGUGAGUGAUGAAGGCUUUCGGGUCGUAAAACUCUGUUGUUAGGGAAGAACAAGUGCUAGUUGAAUAAGCUGGCACCUUGACGGUACCUAACCAGAAAGCCACGGCUAACUACGUGCCAGCAGCCGCCGUAA